rnacentral:rRNA from 1 species
UACGGGGGGAGCAAGCGUUGCUCGGAUUUACUGGGCGUAAAGGGCGCGUAGGCGGCCACUGCAAGUCAGUUGUGAAAUCUCCGGGCUUAACCCGGAAAGGUCAACUGAUACUGCAGGGCUAGAGUGCAGAAGGGGCAACUGGAAUUCUCGGUGUAGCGGUGAAAUGCGUAGAUAUCGAGAGGAACACCUGCGGCGAAGGCGGGUUGCUGGGCUGACACUGACGCUGAUGUGCGAAAGCCAGGGGAGCGAACGGG